rnacentral:rRNA from 1 species
GACGAACGCUGGCGGCGUGCUUAACACAUGCAAGUCGAACGGAAAGGCCCUGCUUUUGUGCGUUGCUCGAGUGGCGAACGCGUGGGUAACACGUGAGUAACCUCUCCUUAACUUUCGGGUAACUUCUGGAAACUGGGGCUCUUACACGGUAUGAGAUCUUGCUCCAUGGGGGGGAUUGGAGAGUUUCGGCCGUGGGGGAUGGACUCGCGGGUUAUGAGCUUGUUGGGGGGGUAGUGGCUUACCAAGCCUUUGACGGAUAGCCUGCCUGGGAGGCGGACCGGCGACCAUGGGACUGCGAUACGGCCCAGACUCCUACCGGCGGCAGCAGGCGAGAACAUGGCAGAAUGGGCGGAAGUGUGAUGUAGCAAUGCCGCGUGCGUGAUGAUGGCUUUUGGGUGGUAAACCGAUGUCGACGGUGCCGAAGCGUGAGUGACGGUAAUGGGUAAAGAAGCACCGGCUAACUACGUG